AGGGAGAGGGUGAGGGAGAGAGAGAGUGACGUUUUGAAGAAGAAGAAGACUUGUGUUUUAUUUUUUUUUCUUUUCUUUUUCUAAAUAUUUAACCUUUAGUAAGACCAAAAAUUAUCCAAAAAUUUAAAUUUUUAAUUAUAAUGUUUAUUGCAUCAUGCAUGAUGUAAUCACCUUUUCACUUUUUCUAUUUUCCUCUUUUUUUAUUUAUUUUUCUUCAGUUCUUUAAUUUAAUUCUCGAUUUCGAAAUUUUCAUUUUUCCGAUUUCAUUGAACAGUUAGGUCAGGAGUCAGCUCUAGGGGUGAAUUGACCAAUAUGCCCCUCACCGGCUCAAUCCGGUUUGUAAGUUAUUCGAUAUUUCUUCCGAAUACCUGACCUAAUUAUUUGACCUGCUUAACAAUUCUUUUCUGUAAUUUUCUCUUUUC
rnacentral:misc_RNA from 1 species